rnacentral:rRNA from 1 species
GGGGGGGGGGGGGGGGGGGGGGGGGGGGGGGGGGGGGGGGAGAGAGGGGGGGGGGGGGCCGCGGACGGGAGCGGCGGAGGGGGGAGGAACACGGGGAUAACCUACCUAUAAGACUGGGAUAAGUUCGGGAAACCGGAGCUGAUACCGGAUAAGAUAUGGAACCGCAUGGUUCAAUAGGGAAAGACGGUUUUGCGGUCACUUAUAGAGGGAUCCGCGCCGCAUUAGCUAGUUGGUAAGGUAACGGCUUACCAAGGCAACGAUGCGUAGCCGACCUGAGAGGGUGAUCGGCCACACUGGAACUGAGACACGGUCCAGACUCCUACGGGAGGCAGCAGUAGGGAAUCUUCCGCAAUGGGCGAAAGCCUGACGGAGCAACGCCGCGUGAGUGAUGAAGGUCUUCGGAUCGUAAAACUCUGUUAUUAGGGAAGAACAAAUGUGUAAGUAACUAUGCACGUCUUGACGGUACCUAAUCAGAAAGCCACGGCUAACUACGUG